rnacentral:lncRNA from 1 species
GCGGUGUAAGAUUUGUUUUUAAACUGUACAGUGUCUUUUUUUGUAUAGUUAACACACUACCGAAUGUGUCUUUAGAUAGCCCUGUCCUGGUGGUAUUUUCAAUAGCCACUAACUUUGCCUGGUACAGUAUGGGGGUUGUAAAUUGGCAUGGAAAUUUAAAGCAGGUUCUUGUUGGUGCACAGCACAAAUUAGUUAUAUAUGGGGAUGGUAGUUUUUUCAUCUUCAGUUGUCUCUGAUGCAGCUUAUACGAAAUAAUUGUUGUUCUGUUAACUGAAUACCACUCUGUAAUUGCAAAAAAAAAAAGUUGCAGCUGUUUUGUUGACAUUCUGAAUGCUUCUAAGUAAAUACAAUUUUUUUAUUAAAAAAAAAAAAGAA